AAAGGUAAGCUACUAAGAGCGAAUGGUGGAUGCCUUGACUGGUAAAGGCGAUGAAGGACGUACUAGACUGCGAUAAGCUACGGGGAGCUGUCAAGAAGCUUUGAUCCGUAGAUUUCCGAAUGGGGCAACCCAAUGUAUAGAGAUAUACAUUACCUAUAUAGGAGCGAACGAGGGGAAUUGAAACAUCUUAGUACCCUCAGGAAAAGAAAUCAAUAGAGAUUGCGUCAGUAGCGGCGAGCGAAAGCGCAAGAGGGCAAACCCAGUGCUUGCACUGGGGGUUGUAGGACUGCAAUGUGCAAGAGGUAAGUUUAGCAGAACAUUCUGGAAAGUAUAACCAUAGAGGGUGAUAGUCCCGUAUGCGAAAAACAAACCUUAGCUAGCAGUAUCCUGAGUAGGGCGGGACACGAGGAAUCCUGUCUGAAUCCGGGUCGACCACGAUCCAACCCUAAAUACUAAUACCAGAUCGAUAGUG
rnacentral:rRNA from 1 species